rnacentral:rRNA from 1 species
UACGAAGGGGGCUAGCGUUGUUCGGAUUUACUGGGCGUAAAGCGCACGUAGGCGGAUCGUUAAGUCGGGGGUGAAAUCCUGGAGCUCAACUCCAGAACUGCCUUCGAUACUGGCGAUCUCGAGUCCGGAAGAGGUGAGUGGAACUCCUAGUGUAGAGGUGGAAUUCGUAGAUAUUAGGAAGAACACCAGUGGCGAAGGCGGCUCACUGGUCCGGUACUGACGCUGAGGUGCGAAAGCGUGGGGAGCGAACGGG